rnacentral:rRNA from 1 species
CUGAUCCAGCAAUGCCGCGUGCAGGAUGAAGGCCUUCGGGUUGUAAACUGCUUUUGUACGGAACGAAAAGGCUCGGGUUAAUACCCUGGGGUCAUGACGGUACCGUAAAAGUAAGCACCGGCUAACUACGUGCCAGCAGCCGCGGUAAUACGUAGGGUGGUAGCGUUAAUCGGAAUUACUGGGCGUAAAGCGUGCGCAGGCGGUUUUGUAAGACAGAAGUGAAAUCCCCGGGCUCAACCUGGGAACUGCCUUUGUGACUGCAAGGCUAGAGUACGGCAGAGGGGGAUGGAAUUCCGCGUGUAGCAGUGAAAUGCGUAGAUAUGCGGAGGAACACCGAUGGCGAAGGCAAUCCCCUGGGCCUGUACUGACGCUCAUGCACGAAAGCGUGGGGAGCAAACAGGAUUAGAUACCCUGGUAGUCCACGCCCUAAACGAUGUCAACUGUUUGUUGGGUCUUAACUGACUCAGUAACGAAGCUAACGCGUGAAGUUGACCGCCUGGGGAGUACGGCCGCAAGGUUG